rnacentral:rRNA from 1 species
AUGAAGGCCCUAUCUUCCCUGUUACUUCUUGUGGGAUGGGAGAUAUGGAAUGAAAGGAAUGCUCGUGUCUUCAGGAGCAAAGCGGCGCCGGUGGUGAUAGUCAUGCGACGCAUCAAAGAGGAAGUUUCGAUUUGA